AUUUUGAUUUUCAGUACGAAUACAGAACCGUGAAAGCGCGGCCUUCGAUCCCUUUGAUUAAUCAGAGUUUGACUGCAAGGGUGUCAGAAAAGUUACCACAGGGAUAACUGGCUUUGUGGCGGCCAAGCGUUCAUAGCCGACGUCGCUUUUUUGAUUCUCGAUGUCGGCUCUUCCUAUCAUUGUGAAGCAGAAUUCACCAAGCGUUGGAUUGUUUCACCCACCAAUAGGGAACGUGAGCUGGGUUUAGACCGUCGUGAGAGUUAGUUUUUACCCUACUGAUGUCUUGUCGUUGCUAUGGUAAUCCUGCCUUAGUACGAGAGAACCGCAGGUUCAGACAUUUGGUUUAUGUGCUGGUCGAAAGACCAAUUGGUGCGAAGCUACCAUCUGAGGGAUUAAGACUGAAGCCUCUUAAGUCUGAAUCCCGCCCAGAAAUGCAAACGAUACUAUCGGUGCCCUACGCCGGGAGGCAACGAUAUACUCGGCCCCGAAAUCCUGAUUUCGGCGGCCGAGACUGGCUAAAGCCACUGCGAUACUGGCCACACCCGCUGUCUUGAAUUUGGCAGUGGAGGCACAGACACGAUACCACUUGAUGAGACGUAGGGUUCUAUAUCGUUUGUAGACGACUUAGAUCCGGUCGGGUGCCGUCUUAGUUGAGCAGUUCUUCACUGCGAUCUAUUGAGGCUAAGCCUUUUGACGGGGAGAUUAUGU
rnacentral:ncRNA from 1 species